ensembl:lncRNA AABR07019088.1
CUGGUUGUUAUGCUGCAGUUGGCAGGCUGCUGCGGGAGGCGGUGGCGGUAGGAAGCCUGAGGCUGCGGGGUGACAGAGUUGGAAAAUAUUUAACUCUCAACAAAUGAAUUCCACACUUGAACUCUGCUGUAUUCCUGUGCCACCUCCUCCUUUAGAGAACUGAUCUUAAGACAGAUGCACAGAACACAUGAAACUCAAGAAAGAUGACCAAAAUGUGAAUGCUUCACUCCUUCUUUAAAAGGGGAACAAGAAAACCCUUGGCAGGGAGUAGGGAGGCAAAGUUUAGAACAGAGGCAGAAGGAACACCCAUUCAGAGCCUGCCCCACAUGUCGCCCAUACAUAUACAGCCACCAAACUAGAUAAGAUGGAUGAAGUAAGGAAGUGCAGACUCACAGGAACCGGAUAUAGAUCUCUCCUGAGAGACACAGCCAGAAUACAGCAAAUACAGAGGCGAAUGCCAGCAGCAGACCACUGAACUGAGAAUGGGACCCCCGUUGAAGGAAUCAGAGAAAGGACUGGAAGAGCUUGAAGGGGCUCGAGACCCCAUAUGAACAACAAUGCCAACCAACCAGAGCUUCCAGGGACUAAGCCACUACCUAAAGACUAUGCAUGGACUGACCCUGGACUCUGACCUCAUAGGUAGCAAUGAAUAGCCUAAUAAAAGCACCAGUGGAA